AGAGUUGAUAUGGCUCAGAACGAACGCUGGCGGCGCGUCUAAGCAUGCAAGUCGAACGGCAAGAGGUAGCAAUACCUCCUAGAGUGGCGGACUGGUGAGUAACACGUGGGUGACAUACCCUUCAGAUGGGGAUAGCUAUUAGAAAUAGUAGAUAAUACCGAAUACGAGCACAGGGGUUAGAGAUCUGUGAGGAAAGGAGCUAAGGCUCCGCUGAAGGAAUGGCCUGCGGCCCAUUAGCUAGUUGGUGAGGUAAGAGCCCACCAAGGCGAUGAUGGGUAUCCGGCCUUAGAGGGUGAACGGACACAUUGGGACUGAGAUACGGCCCAGACUCCUACGGGAGGCAGCAGCUAAGAAUAUUCCGCAAUGGACGGAAGUCUGACGGAGCGACGCCGCGUUGGAUGAAGAAGGCCGGAAGGUUGUAAAAUCCUUUUGAAACUGAAGAAUAAGCGUUGUAGGGAAUGACAGCGUGGUGACAGUAGGUUUUGAAUAAGCAACGGCUAAUUACGUGCCAGCAGCCGC
rnacentral:rRNA from 1 species